rnacentral:rRNA from 1 species
GAGGAAUAAGCAUCGGCUAACUCCGUGCCAGCAGCCGCGGUAAUACGGGGGAUGCAAGCGUUAUCCGGAAUCAUUGGGCGUAAAGCGCCUGUAGGUUGUUUAUUAAGUCUGUUGUUAAAGACCAGGGCUUAACCCUGGGAAAGCAAUGGAAACUAGUAGACUAGAGUAUGGCAGGGGUAGAGGGAAUUUCUAGUGUAGCGGUGAAAUGCGUAGAUAUUAGAAAGAACACCGGUGGCGAAAGCGCUCUACUGGACCAUUACUGACACUCAGAGGCGAAAGCUAGGGUAGCAAAAGGGAUUAGAUACCCCUGUAGUCCUAGCCGUAAACGAUGGAUACUAGAUGUUGUGCAUAAUGUACAGUAUCGUAGCUAACGCGUUAAGUAUCCCGCCUGGGGAGUACGCUCGCAAGGGUGAAACUCAAAGGAAUUGACGGGGGCCCGUACAAGCGGUGGAGCAUGUGGUUUAAUUCGAUGCAACGCGAAGAACCUUACCAGGGCUUGACAUACUACGAAUCCCUUUGAAAAAAGGGAGUGCCUUCGGGAAUGUAGAUACAGGUGGUGCAUGGCUGUCGUCAGCUCGUGUCGUGAGAUGUUGGGUUAAGUCCCGCAACGAGCGCAACCCUUAUUUUUAGUUACCAAUUCGUUGGGUUCUCUAGAAAGACUGCCGGUGACAAACCGGAGGAAGGUGAGGAUGACGUCAAGUCAGCAUGCCCCUUAUGUCCUGGGCUACACACGUGCUACAAUGGUGGAGACAAAGAGUUGCGAGCUCGCGAGGGUAAGCUAAUCUCAUAAACUUCGCCUAAGUUCAGAUUGCAGGCUGCAACUCGCCUACGUGAAG